GACGAACGCUGGCGGCGUGCUUAACACAUGCAAGUCGAACGGAAAGGCCCUGCUUUUGUGGGUUGCUCGUGUGGCGAACGGGUGAGUAACACGUGAGUAACCUGCCCUUGUCUUUGGGAUAACUUCUGGAAACUGGGGCUAAUACCGCAUAUGAUCUCCUGCUGCAUGUGGUGGGUUGGAAAGUUUCGGCGGUUUGGGAUCGUCUCGCGGCUUAUCAGCUUGUUGGUGGGGUAGUGGCUUACCAAGGCUUAGACGGGUAGCCGGCCUGAGAGGGUGACCGGCCACAUUGGGACUGAGAGACGGCCCAGACGCCUACGGGAGGCAGCAGUGGGGAAUAUUGCACAAUGGGCGGAAGCCUGAUGCAGCAACGCCGCGUGCGGGAUGACGGCCUUCGGGUUGUAAACAGAUUUCGCCUGUGACGAAGCGUGAGUGACGGUAAUGGGUAAAGAAGCACCGGCUAACUACGUG
rnacentral:rRNA from 1 species